rnacentral:rRNA from 1 species
UCCGUAGGCGGGCAAUUAAGUCAGAGGUGAAAUCUCACAGCUCAACUGUGGAACUGCCUUUGAUACUGGUUGUCUUGAGUUACAGUGAAGUAGAUAGAAUAUGUAGUGUAGCGGUGAAAUGCAUAGAUAUUACAUAGAAUACCGAUUGCGAAGGCAGUCUACUAACUGUAUACUGACGCUAACGGACGAAAGCGUGGGGAGCGAACAGGAUUAGAUACCCUGGUAGUCC